GUGUUACUCCCUCCGUUCGAAAUUACUUGUCUCGGAAAUGAAUGUAUCUAGAACUAAAAUACGUCUACAUACAUUCAUUUUCGCGACAAGUAAUUUCGAACGGAGGGAGUACAUA
rnacentral:pre_miRNA from 1 species